UGGGGAAUUUUGGACAAUGGGGGAAACCCUGAUCCAGCCAUCCCGCGUGUUCGAUGAAGGCCUUCGGGUUGUAAAGCACUUUUGGCAGGAAAGAAACGUCAUGGGUUAAUACCCCGUGAAACUGACGGUACCUGCAGAAUAAGCACCGGCUAACUACGUGCCAGCAGCCGCGGUAAUACGUAGGGUGCAAGCGUUAAUCGGAAUUACUGGGCGUAAAGCGUGCGCAGGCGGUUCGGAAAGAAAGAUGUGAAAUCCCAGAGCUCAACUUUGGAACUGCAUUUUUAACUACCGGGCUAGAGUGUGUCAGAGGGAGGUGGAAUUCCGCGUGUAGCAGUGAAAUGCGUAGAUAUGCGGAGGAACACCGAUGGCGAAGGCAGCCUACUGGGAUAACACUGACGCUCAUGCACGAAAGCGUGGGGAGCAAACAGG
rnacentral:rRNA from 1 species